rnacentral:misc_RNA from 1 species
UUUCCGUAGGUGAACCUGCGGAAGGAUCAUUCAUAAUAAGUGUUUUAUGGCACUUUUUUAAAUCCAUAUCCACCUUGUGUGCAAUGUCAGGGUUGGUCUCUUUUUGAUCAGCCCCAAACAUCAACUAUUAUCUCAACUCUUUGUCUGAAGAAUAUUAUGAAUAAAACAAUUCAAAAUACAACUUUCAACAACGGAUCUCUUGGCUCUC